rnacentral:rRNA from 1 species
GAUGAACGCUGGCGGCGUGCCUAAUACAUGCAAGUCGAGCGAACAGACGAGGAUCUUGCUCCUCUGACGUUAGCGGCGGACGGGUGAUUAACACGUGGAUAACCUACCUAUAAGACUGGGAUAACUUCGGGAAACCGAAGCUAAUACCGGAUAAUAUAUUGAACCGCAUGGUUCAAUAGUGAAAGACGGUUUUGCUGACCCUUAUAGAUGGUUCCUCGCCGCAUUAGCUAGUUGGUAAGGUAACGGCUUACCAAGGCGACGAUGCGUAGCCGACCUGAGAGGAUGAUCAGCCACACUGGAACUGAGACACGGUCCAGACUCCUACGGGAGGCAGCAGUGGGGAAUCUUCCGCAAUGGGCGAAAGCCUGACGGAGCAACGCCGCGUGAGUGAUGAAGGUCUUCGGAUCGUAAAACUCUGUUAGUAGGGAAGAACAAAUGUGUAAGUAACUAUGCACGUCUUGACGGUACCUAAUCAGAAAGCAACGGCUAACUACGUG